ensembl:lncRNA
CAGCUCCACCAGGAUGAGCCCUGGGUCCCAAAGACUGAGGGGGAUCAGGAAGCUCUGAAAGGAGGAAGCAGGGGUGUCCAGACACCUGCCCUCUCACAGUUCUGCCAGGAUUGAUCCUCACUGCAGUGGUGCUGGAGAGGAAGCUGACUGAUAGAAGAAAUUCAAGGCUCUCCACGUGGAAGAGAACAAGAGAAAUGGGCAUCUCCUGAAGCCGGGUGCCCAUGGAGGAAUGAAAGGCAGGGAAGAGAAGGAAGGUGCCAGUUCCCUGGGGUUCUGUGUCUGCCAGCUACUGUUAAGUGCCUCUGAGAAACUCUGCUUUCAGCUAACGGGGACCACCUAUCCUGGGAACCUCAGUACAUGGGACCAGAACCUCCUGGGUGGACUCUUUGGCAAGAUGAAUUGGACCAAUGAGACCACCACCACCAUGAAGCCAGGGGCUGACCCUAAAGGACUCAGUGGCUUAGGACCAACAGCCACCGUUCUUUCUGGCUCCAUCGGUGUCAUAGCCCUCAUCUUGCUCCUGAUGGGGCUCAUGUCCAUGCCACUGAAGAAAUGGAGGCACGAGAGACUAUUUAAGAAACAACUGAAGCAUCAGAUGAACUAUCUCCACAAAUCUUCGGAGUUUUCCUGCCAUGCCGAUGCCAUAUAUUCCAACGUGAUCAACCUGGCCCCCAGGAAGGAGGAGGACUUCGCUGUCUAUGCCAACGUGCCCCCUUUCAAUCGCCCCAGAAGGACAUCCCCAGACCAAGUGGAAUAUGCCUCCAUUGUGUUCCACUGAUGGGAAGCCAGCGAGAUGCUUCAGGGUGGAGAGUCAGACCUGUGCCCUAGCUGGCUCACAAUGCAGCUUUUGCUUUAGAUGUGUGUGUGUGUGUGUGUGUGUGUGUGUGUGUGUGUGUGUGUGUGUGUCUUUGAAAUGCAUUAAACUUAUUCUGAUGGAGACAAGUGGCUAAGUAUUUCUUCUCAUUUAUUGGAAGCAAAGUGCAGUUCUAAUGGAAAGGAGUGACACUUGUAAGAUAAGGGACACAAUCGUUCUGAGCCCCUUGAGCUCCAGAAAUGCUUUCCCGAGAGAGACUGGCCAAUAGCAGAGGAUCCCUUCUUAGCCUCUGCCCCUCCUGAGGAUAGGGCUGAGCAGUGGAGCUCACACCAUUCAGGGACCAGCUUCUGGAUUUUUUUUCUUUGUUCUUCCCAGUUAGAAAUUGAAUUAACCUGGUGCAGGUUAGUUCACGAGUCAAGCUCAUACCUGUGGAGACAGGAAACGCUAACUACUGUGCAUGUCUUCGCAACAGCUUUGCAGGACAACACACCAAGUGUCGGGGGAGAAGGAGGCGUGGAGGAGCUGCAGCUACUUGUGAAGUGCUUCUUCCUGGGGGCGUGAAACUUGGCGGAGCUCCCGCAGAGAGUGGAGGGGAAGCAGCGCCUGGUGGAAGUGGAUACAUGUCACCACUGACCAGGGUCUGCUCCGUGUGAAUUGGAAGAGCUCUGGAACUUUGCAAAUGACUCACUCCCUCUUUCCUCCAUUUGAAAACCUUCAUUAAACACCACCAUCUUCUAGACCCUGGGAAUGCAGCAGCGAACACAACAGACAAAACCUUGUUCUCAUGGAGCUUACCUUCUAGGAGGGGGAGAAGGGCAAUGAACAAAUAAACAAGCAAAUACACAGACUGUCAGGUGGUGGCAGCCUCCCUGGUAUUUGAUCUGAAGGAAGUGAGAAAAUGAGACUUGAGGAUAAUUGGGGAAGAGCAUUUCAGGCAGAAGGAACAGCAAGUGCAAAGGCCCUGAGGUGGACGUGUACCUUACAAGGUCAAACAAUAGCAAAGAUAUGAGUGUGUCUGGAGUAUGUGAGGGGGGACAGGAUGGUAGAUGAGGUCUGGGCAGCCAAUCAGCACCUGAGUUAGGGAAUCAGUGAUCUAAGGCAGUGUUCCCCACAGCAUAUUCCACAGGACGUUAGUAGAGAGCCCCAGGGUCCUUUGGGGAUGAUGCUCUGCUGUACCACCCUCUACACACCUGUUACUGGCAUCUGCUAAUCCCCACACAGUCCCCUCAUUUAUCAGGGACUCCUGGUCUCCACCCGAAUUUUGUCAUCACCCACAGUGAUUUCAGUGGCAAUGUAGACGGUCCUUCCUACCAAAGUUCCCCAAAGUGUGUUCUUCCAGUUAUGGGAGAUGUUCAUGGGUGUUGGGAUGGAGAGAGGAGAUAAGAUCAAUGACCAAAUAAGUUCCGAAAAUGAUGAAUAACUAAAUAGUAAUGGAGAAAAAGAAAUUUUCAUUUAAAAUCAAAGCUGAUGGGGAGUUCCCGUGGUGGCUCAGUGGUUAAUGAAUCGGACUAGGAACCAUGAGGUUUCGGGUUCGAUCCCUGGCCUCGCUCAGUGGGUUAAGGAUCUGGCGUGGCCGUGAGCUGUAGUGUAGGUCACAGAUGUGGUUCGGAUCCCGCGUUGCUGUGGCUCUGGCAUAGGCCGGUGGCUACAGCUCUGAUUAGACCCCUAGCCUGGGAACCUCCAUAUGCCACAGGAGCAGCCCUAGAAAAGAUAAAAAGACAAAAAUAAAAUAAAAUAAAAGCUGAUGGGAACCCCUUCUUUCUUGGAAGGAGGAUGGCAUGGCUCUCAUCAAUAAGAAAACACAUACCCUAUGGUUCAUGCCACUUAGAGGGACUAGCGAGGGUAGGAGCAGGUAGAAAGGCGACACGAAGAUUUCUAAGCCUUGUCACCUUUUCUGUGUUGAUAACAGGAAAGUCCAAGAGUAGACAGACCUUUAUUUUAGUGCAGAUGCAUGGCAAUCACGAGCCCUGGUUUGUUGGGGACUUUCCUAAUGUGAGCCUGUUGUCACAGUGAAAUUAUUAGGUCCCCUUUUAUUCUCCAAAGGGUCAUAGUUUGGAUGACAAAUUAUGGGGUCACCUCUUAGCAAGGCUUUGAAAGUGCAAGAAACAAGUCCAAGACCAAUAAGAAGGGGAAAGCAAAUUAUCCAAUAAAGGAAGGAGGAUGGAGUUGGGU